AGCUAUUUAUGAGGUCUACACAUUUUUACACUCAUUAUUUCUAAUUGAUUGAUAAUUAUAUCUUUAAUCGAACAAAGGAAACCAUGUUUCGAGUAUAAACAGCUGGCGUUUUAUUCAAUGUGUACCACUACCAAUUUAAAAUGUGUUUUUCUCGUCAUCGGCAUAGGAUUUAAAAUGUAUUGAAUUAACCCAUAAUAGCAUAAACGAUUUGUAUUUCGUGAUAAAGUUUAAAACGUAUUUUCAUGCCAAGUUACGUUUUAAAUGUGUUAUAUUUCUGUCAUCUGUGUUGUUAACAUAAUAUAAUAUCACUUCGUUUUGUAAACCGGAUAUAUUAACUUUGUUCAAGAAGUAAAAGACAUGGAGAAUAUGGAGAUGAUAGAUGUAGUCAUAUCUUUUGAUACAACGUAUUCUAUGUAUAGUUGUCUUGAACACGUGAAAAGUAAAAUGAAAGGAAUGAUAAGAUUGCUUAAAUCUAAAAUACCAGAUAUCCGUGUAGGUGUCAUUGCACACGGCGAUUAUGAUACAAACUUGUAUCUCAUCAAGUAUGAAGAUCUUACUGCAGAUGCGGACAGCCUUUGCUCAUUUGUAAAUGCGACAGGUUGUAAUCGUGGAUCAACAUCGGAUGAAUGUUACGAGUUAGCUUUACAUUAUAGCAGAACGAAACUGUCCUGGCGAGACAACAGUUCCAGAACAUUAAUUAUGAUUGGAGAUUGUCGACCACACGAUGUCGAUGAUCCUCAAAAUGAACAAAAAAUAGAUUGGGAAGACGAAAUAAGGCAGCUACGAGAAAUGUAUGUAAAGAUUAAUGCAGUUCAAUGUCAAAACAGAGCAUUUGCUGACUCGUUUUAUCAAAAGAUAGCAUCGUCUACGUUUGGACAUUAUGUAUCACUUAACGAUAUGAACAAAAUUGAAGAGGUGAUUAUGUCAAUUUGCUUCAGAGAAGCUGGACUUGAACAGAACAUGACAUUCGUGGGAAAUCAAGCAGAAUCUAAAGAUAUAACAAUACAAAUGCAAAGUGAGUCAAAUGAUCCAAUAAUUAUACUUAAAGAGGAUUCCGACUCUGAUGAUGAAGAGGAAGGAAGUGGUAACAAUUAAACAUCCAUUGCAAUAAUAAUUAUUUAAAUGAAGCGCUGUUUUCAUUUGUGUGUAUGAACACAACGUUUGGCAUUGUUAAUAUUAUUUCAGGUAUGAAGUGUCCCCUCUGUAAAGUCAACAAACCUCCAAAUGAAUUCCCAACUACGACUGUGAGCGAAGAAUGUGAACAUGCCCCACUAGAAUGUCUGAGAUGUGUAGUGAAACACGUUAAAGAGACGGGAAAAUGCCCACGUGAAAACUGUGAUAUUGAUGUACAGCCUGAAUUUAAAACGAGUUUUUUCAAGCGAAAUUAGACAGGCUUUUUGUAGAUUAUAGUAAGAUAUCUGAACAACAAGCAAGACUGAUGAAACCUGGUUGUGAACUGAUUAGCGUUUCAACUAUGAACAGCGAUACAGAGUGGUUUUCCUUUAGGGAAAAUAUGCAAAUAAUCGAACUGAAGCGGGAAAUAAACGAGAAACUUGGCAUCAGGGUAGAACAACAGCGGCUGAUUUAUAAUGACAUAUAUCUUAAGGCUGCUGCCAGGCUUUUUGAUUACAAUAUUUGCUGCAAUGCAAAUAUUUCUCUGAUCAUGCCACUGUACUGUAUUCCCGAACACCUUGACCACGUUGUGUUUGAUUUAUCCUGGGAAUUUCCUGCCGUGAAUCCAGAUUUUUUUGAUGCCACGUGUAUGGCUUUUGAAAAGAAUGAAUUCAUCCAAGUUAUUGACUGGAAUCAUUCAACGAACGAUUAUUAUCUGAAGAACUCUGUGAGACAUUCAGAGAAAAAUAUGUCUGGUCCCGGAGAAAAGACAGGCCGUCAGACGAUUCACGUUUAUUUGAAAAGUGUCCCAAUGAAUGUCACUCAUCUCUAUUUUAUAUUAAGUUCAUGGAGGUCACCAAACCUGUCUGAUUUCAAGAAUCCUUCCUUGAAGUUUUACGAGGCAUCCAGCGAAAACGUUAACUUGUGUGAAACAACAUUUGUACAUGCGCUAAAUUCUCAAGCUGUUAUAAUGUGCUCGAGUGUACGACAGGGUUCGAAAUGGGAGAUCUUUGAAUGCGGUGCUGGUAGCUUGGUGGCAGGUAAUGCUAAGUGUUACAAUCCAAUAAGGGCUAGAAUUGCUGAUCUCAUUAGAAACGAAUUGUAACCCAUAUUGUGUAUUGAAAUGUUUAUCUCCCUUGACAGGAUAUAUACAAUUUAAUUUUAUUAUUUUCAAAAGUACUCAUUUAAACACAUUGAAAUGUAUUUUACAUAAGAUGUAUACAUUUUUAUCUUGUUUAUAUGUUAAGACAUAAUCAUAAUGAACAUUUGAUGUUUAUGUUUAAAAAAACUGACUUGGAUAUAUACAAUGACGGUGUAUGUUACAAAAUUAAGUUUCUAACAACCUUGAAAUAAAUAUGGUCAAUACGUUAAAAGUCUACAAAAAUAUAGAUUGAAAAUAAUCAGUCGUAAUUCUUUUUCACUUUAGGUUGGUGAAAGUUCUAGUCCUAUAUAAUGCGGGAAUGCGUUAAAAUAAAAGUACUUUGCCAUAUGUAUUGAUUUAUGAUGCAUUGAAAGUUUGAAUUUGAAAGACCAAUUGUUAUUGUCUAUUCCAAACGGAUUUAUGACUACAUUUAAAUAUCACUAAAGCUAUCAAUAUUAUGAGAUGUUGUGUUCACUACAAACAUUCCUGCACAUGUAUUGAUGAUUUUUAGGAAAAUGCUGUAUUUCAAAUGUAAAGAAUCUUAUUUUAUCAAUUUUUUCAUAUAUUAUUUCAAUAUAAAUAUUAUUUCCAUGACCGCGCCCCUCUGUAUUCCUUGUAUGUCUUGUUUAUUGUUACAAACAAAUUUGGUGACACUUUUGUGUUCUUUUUGCGACAUCUUUCUCUCUAACCCAAUUUUUUCAAUGUGGUUAGAGG